CUUAAUCUUGCACCUGACCAUAAUAGCUUUUAUGUCAAUGCAUGAGUUCUAUUUAACAGAGGAUGACAGAAAUUCUAUUGAUAUAAUUAGUAACUUAACAUCAAAAGCAUACAAAAGGAGUUAGUACAACACAUGCCUAUUCCGUCAAAACUUACAAUGAUCUGCGAGCUGACCACAUUGUGUCAUGAUACAUAGAUAAGACGUGUAAUUAAGCAUGCACCGUACAUUAAACUGCACAUACAUGCAAACAUACACAUUCAGCGCUGGGUAUACUACCAUUUUUGCUGGAUGAAGUAGCAGUAUUUCUGUUUAUUUCUUACGUUAUCCUAUUCCGUCCCCGCUGCAGGCACACUUUGCACACUGUUUUUUGACAUCACCAUGAUUAGAAGCAGAAUAGACAAUCAUUUGGAAACGUAAAGAUUAGACUGAAAGAAGAUUCACAUGUAAAUUAUUCGUACCUUCACUGGGAGACAUUUUUCUGUAUUGGCUGAUCAAUUUUCAAAAGAUUUCGUCUCUAACCUGAUAUAGUUAAUGAUGUUAGAAUAAUUGAAAAAAUUAUGGCAGUGUGAUGCCCAACAAAAAAUCUGUUCAUCUAUUAUGCUUCCCUCUCACCUCUGUACGUGAGAUAAAAUAAAUUGGACGUGAGAUGUGGCAGCUUGUCGCACACUCUUCUGCUUUCCUCCCACCUCUGUAACCUUCACCACCACAUAAGAAACACGGUGAGAAGAGGGACGGAGUGUAGUGAUGCAGAGAGAGAUACACACACAUAGAUGUGGUGUUGGAGUGUGCUGCCGGAGCGAGGAAGCACACACGCUAGAGGCCCGUACCUGGAGAGAUCAAGGUCGUGCAGCCCCGUCGGUUGCCAAACAGGUCGUCGAUCGCUCUCCCCGCCAUUGGCCGGACCGGCUGCCGCUCGCGCCGCCCCUCCGUUGGCCGGACUGGCCCUCGCUCACGCCGCGCUGCNNNNNNNNNNNNNNNNNNNNNNNNNNNNNNNNNC
rnacentral:lncRNA from 1 species